rnacentral:rRNA from 1 species
GAUGAACGCUGGCGGCGUGCCUAAUACAUGCCAGUCGAGCGAACAGACGAGGAGCUUGCUCCUCUGACGUUAGCGGCGGACGGGUGAGUAACACGUGGAUAACCUACCUAUAAGACUGGGAUAACUUCGGGAAACCGGAGCUAAUACCGGAUAAUAUAUUGAACCGCAUGGUUCAAUAGUGAAAGACGGCUUUGCUGUCACUUAUAGAUGGAUCCGCGCCGCAUUAGCUAGUUGGUAAGGUAACGGCUUACCAAGGCAACGAUGCGUAGCCGACCUGAGAGGGUGAUCGGCCACACUGGAACGGAGACACGGUCCAGACUCCUACGGGAGGCAGCAGUAGGGAAUCUUCCGCAAUGGGCGAAAGCUUGACGGAGCAACGCCGCGUGAGUGAUGAAGGUCUUCGGAUCGUAAAACUCUGUUAUUAGGGAAGAACAAAUGUGUAAGUAACUAUGCACGUCUUGACGGUACCUAAUCAGAAAGCCACGGCUAACUACGUG